GACCGCGUAGCUCAGUUGGCAGAGCAUUGGGCUAGUAUUCCAAAGGUCGGAGGUUCGAUUCCCAUCGUGGUCA
rnacentral:tRNA from 1 species